rnacentral:rRNA from 1 species
UACGGGGGGGGCAAGCGUUGUUCGGAAUUACUGGGCGUAAAGGGCUCGUAGGCGGCCAACUAAGUCAGACGUGAAAUCCCUCGGCUUAACCGGGGAACUGCGUCUGAUACUGGAUGGCUAGAGCAUUGGAGAGGGUAGCGGAAUUCACGGUGUAGCAGUGAAAUGCGUAGAUAUCUGGAGGAACACCGGUGGCGAAGGCGGCAUCCUGGACCGGUAUUGACGCUGAUGCGCGAAAGCCAGGGGAGCAAACGGG